rnacentral:rRNA from 1 species
GCUUGGGCGAGAGUAGUACUAGGAUGGGUGACCUCCUGGGAAGUCCUCGUGUUGCACCCU